GACGUAGGGUGCGAGCGUUGUCCGGAUUUAUUGGGCGUAAAGAGCUCGUAGGCGGCUCGUCGCGUCGACCGUGAAAACCCGCAGCUUAACUGCGGGCUUGCGGUUGAUACGGGCGGGCUAGAGUUCGGUAGGGGAGACUGGAAUUCCUGGUGUAGCGGUGAAAUGCGCAGAUAUCAGGAGGAACACCCGUGGCGAAAGCGGCUCUCUGGGACGGUACUGACGCUGAGACGCGAAAGCGUGGGGAGCAAACAGG
rnacentral:rRNA from 1 species